rnacentral:misc_RNA from 1 species
UCUCCGUAGGUGAACCUGCGGAGGGAUCAUUACAGAGUUCAUGCCCUACCGGGUAGAUCUCCCACCCUAUGUUAUUAUUACUUUGUUGCUUUGGCGGGCCGUUAGGCUCCGGCCCGACUACCGGCCCCGGCUGGUAAGCGCCCGCCAGAGGACCCAAAACCCUGAAUAUUAGUGUCGUCUGAGUACUAUAUAGUAGUUAAAACUUUCAACAACGGAUCUCUUGGUUCUGGUAUCGAUGAAGAACGCAGC